rfam:Ixodes scapularis strain Wikel colony gcontig_1107728998436, whole genome shotgun sequence.
GAUUUCUGCUCAGUGCUCUGAAUGUAAAGGUGAAGAGAUUCAUCAAAGCACGGGUCAAUGGCGGGAGUAACUAUGACUCUCUAGUGCUGAACGUCUUCAGGCACAAGGGGGU